CGUCAGACUUCCCGGGACACCAUGCCCCUCUUUACAUCUCCUCGGUGCUGUGUCCCUGACGGGAUGACGAGAGAGGGUACCGGGGUUACUCCCCCCGCCCAUACCGGCUCCCGCAAGGCUGUGAUUUUAGACGAUCCUGCCGGCUGCUGGAGGAACCCAGAGCCAGUCACGCGUGUUGCCGGCGGGACCUGCACCACAGUCUCCCUUACGCCUCAAGGCAGCCCCACAAGAGAAGAAAACCACCCACAACGGGUCGUGAGGGUGGUAAGACGUUCUAAGAUCUGGGGAGAUUUGGAGGGCUUGCCGAGGAAUGCGACAACAGCGCUCACUUUCUAAUGGAUCCCCAGAAGAAUGUUUCACACGUUAUGAAUUAUUGCUCCCCCGCUCCCUAACUAUCAAUAAGACGUACAUUAAAGAUGAUUGUUUGUAAA